UGGGCAACCUGCCCUCAGCUCUGGGAUAACUCCAAGAAAUUGGGGCUAAUACCGGAUGUGACCGCUGACCGCACGGUCUGGUGGUGGAAAGAUUUAUCGGCUGGGGAUGGGCCCGCGGCCUAUCAGCUUGUUGGUGGGGUAGCGGCCUACCAAGGCGACGACGGGUAGUCGGCCUGAGAGGGUGACCGGCCACACUGGGACUGAGACACGGCCCAGACCUCCGUACGGGAG
rnacentral:rRNA from 1 species